GGGGAUUGUGGUGCUGUAGGAGGAGCUGAUGCAAAGAAACCUGCUGAAUCUGAAUUUGCUGAAACUUUUGCUCCUGCUUGUGGCGUCACGGUCUCAACUCUCACUCCAAUCACAGGUCGUUUACUUGGCUGCCAAUCCAAAUACGUCGAUCCAGCUGAAGUAUUUUCAGAAGUUCUGAUGAAAAACAGCAAGAGCUUGGACAUUCUAUAUAAUAAGAAUCACACAGAAGUGGGAGCUGCAGUUUCAGG
rnacentral:misc_RNA from 1 species